rnacentral:tRNA from 1 species
CCUUCGAUAGCUCAGUUGGUAGAGCGGUGGACUGUAGAGUAGCGAAUGAAUAAGAAGAAAUCCAUAGGUCGCUGGUUCAAAUCCGGCUCGAAGGA